CAGUAGCCGCGGGAAUACGAGGGGGGCAAGCGUUGUUCGGAAUUAUUGGGCGUAAAGGGCGCGUAGGCGGUUUGGCAAGUUUGGUGUGAAAUCUUCGGGCUCAACUCGAAGUCUGCACCGAGAACUGCCGGGCUUGAGUAUGGGAGAGGUGAGUGGAAUUUCCGGUGUAGCGGUGAAAUGCGUAGAUAUCGGAAGGAACACCUGUGGCGAAAGCGGCUCACUGGACCAUUACUGACGCUGAGGCGCGAAAGCUAGGGGAGCAAACAGGAUUAGAUACCCCAGUAGUCCCUGUCUCUUAUAC
rnacentral:rRNA from 1 species